rnacentral:rRNA from 1 species
UACGAAGGGUGCAAGCGUUGUUCGGAAUUAUUGGGCGUAAAGCGCGCGCAGGCGGAAUGAUAAGUCAGAUGUGAAAUCUCGGAGCUCAACUCCGAACGUGCGUCUGAAACUGCCAUUCUAGAGUUGCGGAGAGGGUAGGGGAAUUUCACGUGUAGGGGUAAAAUCCGUAGAGAUGUGAAGGAACACCGGAGGCGAAAGCGCCUACCUGGACGCAUACUGACGCUGAGGCGCGAAAGCGUGGGGAUCAAACAGG